UACGUAGGGGGCAAGCGUUGUCCGGAAUUAUUGGGCGUAAAGAGCUCGUAGGCGGUCUGUCGCGUCUGUUGUGAAAACUCGAGGCUCAACCUCGGGCUUGCAGUGGAUACGGGCAGACGUAGAGUGCGGUAGGGGAGACUGGAAUUCCUGGUGUAGCGGUGGAAUGCGCAGAUAUCAGGAGGAACACCGAUGGCGAAGGCAGGGUCUCCUGGGCCACUACUGACGCUGAGAAGCGAAAGCAUGGGAGCGAACAGGAUAGA
rnacentral:rRNA from 1 species